UGGUGGCAAUGUCGGAGGGGGUACACCCGUUCCCAUCCCGAACACGGCAGUUAAGCCCUCCUGAGCCGAUGGUACUUGGGGAUCACUCCCCCGGAAGAGUAGGACGCCGCCA
rnacentral:rRNA from 1 species